UACGUAGGGGGCAAGCGUUGUCCGGAAUCAUUGGGCGUAAAGAGCGUGUAGGCGGCCCGAUAAGUCCGCCGUGAAAGUCCAGGGCUCAACCCUGGAAUGCCGGUGGAAACUGUCGGGCUGGAGUCCGGAAGAGGCGAGUGGAAUUCCUGGUGUAGCGGUGAAAUGCGCAGAUAUCAGGAAGAACACCCGUGGCGAAGGCGGCUCUCUGGGACGGUACUGACGCUGAGACGCGAAAGCGUGGGGAGCGAACAGG
rnacentral:rRNA from 1 species